UGCAAUGAUGAAAAUUUGGAGUAGGAAGUGCCGUCAGAUGCGACAACUGAUGAUGGUUGAUCCACAUUUCUGAGU